GCUUAGCCCUAAACAUAGACAGCAUUAACACAAUACUGUCCGCCAGAGAACUACAAGCGAAAAGCUUGAAACUCCAAGGACUUGGCGGUGCUUCAAACCAACCUAGAGGAGCCUGUCCUAUAAUCGAUACUCCACGUUUCACCUUACCGCCACUAGCCAAUCAGCCUAUAUACCGCCGUCGUCAGCCUACCUUAUGAGAGAAAUAAAGUAAGCAAAAAAGUUAUCAACUAACACGUCAGGUCAAGGUGUAGCACAUGCGGCGGCAGAGAUGGGCUACAUUCUAUCAAAGAAAAAACACGAAUGGGGGAUUGAAAAAUACCCCUAAAGGUGGAUUUAGUAGUAAAAUAUAAAAGAACACACAUUUUAAACCCGCUCUGAAGCGCGCACACACCGC
rnacentral:rRNA from 1 species